UGAGGAAUAUUGGGCAAUGCCCGCAAGGGUGACCCAGCAACGCCGCGUGGAGGAUGAAUGUCGUAAGAUUGUAAACUCCUGUUAGAGGGGAAGAAUAGUACCGGUUGGACCGGUAUAUGACUGUACCCUCAGAGAAAGCCCCGGCUAACUACGUGCCAGCAGCCGCGGUAAUACGCAGGGGGCAAGCGUUGUCCGGAUUUACUGGGUGUAAAGGGCGCGCAGGCGGGAUAAAAAGUCAGUGGUGAAAUCCUACAGCUUAACUGUAGAACUGCCUUUGAUACUUUUAUUCUUGAGUUCGGGAGAGAGAGACGGAAGUCCAGGUGUAGUGGUGAAAUACGUAGAUACCUGGAAGAACACCAGUGGCGAAGGCGGUCUCUUGGUCCGACACUGACGCUGAGGCGCGAAAG
rnacentral:rRNA from 1 species